GACGAACCGUGCGAACGUUGUUCGGAAUCAUUGGGCUUAAAGGGCGCGUAGGCGGGCUAGCAAGUCAGGGGUGAAAGCCCACGGCUCAACCGUGGAAGUGCCUUUGAUACUGCCAGCCUGGAGGGAGGUAGGGGCGUGCGGAACUUCCGGUGGAGCGGUGAAAUGCGUAGAUAUCGGGAGGAACACCGGUGGCGAAGGCGGUUCUCUGGGCCUUACCUGACACUGAGGAGCGAAAGCGUGGGGAGCGAACAGG
rnacentral:rRNA from 1 species